CUUUUUUUUCACUUUUUGAGGUGUUUUGCCUAGUCUGAAUUUCCCCUUCUUCUAUUUGAUCAAGAUGGAUAGCAAAAAAGCAUGAAUAGGCCUACUGGGAUGGAAGGAGAGAAGGACUAAACGAGAAAAGGAAAUACCUCUUUGUUUACCUUGGAAUGAAUUGCUCAACUACUUAGAUCGGAAGAGCACAC